UACAUAACUACAAUACACUAUUGUACGGUGUAUUGCAAACCACGAGGCAAAGGUGCAUUAAAAAUGUAUCGGAUAAAAA
rnacentral:ribozyme from 1 species